AGCUUGUUCAUCCACUCUCAUCACCAGCUAAGAACAGGGCUUCGUCUCAAUGGAAGGCAAAACAGGGCAGCUCAGGUGCUGUUUCGUCGCCAUCGUGCUCGUCCUGGGUCUUGUCCUUGAGUCCCACCAGGCUGAAGCUGGAGGCAAAUGGUGCUGCGAAACCGCCACCGGAAAAUACCAUUUUAAUCGCUGCGUUGACUCGGGUUUGGUCGACAAUAUUGGGUUCUGUGCGGGUAAUGCCGGUUGCAUCAUUAUGGAAGACAGAUGUGGAGGCCGUUGGCCGGUGCCUGCUCGUGAUGCGCUUUCCCUGGAUGUCAUUUGAUUAAUUAUAAGCAAGUACGUGAAGAAACGAGGGCCAGACGACUGUCGUCCAGCGAUUGGUUAUUUGUGAACUUGUCGUUUGUCUUCUUAUUUCAACUUUCCAAUAAGCCCCUUCGUGAAGUGUCAUCCCCUUCAAAGUCUGUCGACUGUUACGUAUACAAAUCUAUAUAUCAAAUAAAGACGGCGCCGUACGUGUGUAUAUGUCUCUAUUUCUGAUCUUGCAGUCGUUUGCUUAAUCAAUUGUUCUGUCACUAUUUUAUCUAAUAAAAUUGCACGUACGCAUGUA